rnacentral:misc_RNA from 1 species
GUGAAGAACGCAGCGAAAUGCGAUACUUGGUGUGAAUUGCAGAAUCCCGUGAACCAUCGAGUCUUUGAACGCAAGUUGCGCCCGAAGCCAUUAGGCCGAGGGCACGCCUGCCUGGGCGUCACACGUCGUUGCCCCCCCAUCUACUCCUUCGGGAUUGCGGGGGGCGGAUGAUGGCCUCUCGUGCGCCUCGUCGCGCGGUUGGCCUAAAUGCCAAGUCCUCGGCGACGCACGCCACGACAAUCGGUGGUUGCGAAACCUCGGUUGCCUGUCGUGUGCGGUCGUCGCGCAUCGAGGGCUCGAAAAAAUUGCCGGGCUUCGGCUCGACUUUCAACGCGACCCCAGGUCAGGCGGGGUUACCCGCUGAAUUUAAGCAUAUCAAUAAGCGGAGGA